rnacentral:rRNA from 1 species
UACGAAGGGGGCUAGCGUUGCUCGGAAUCACUGGGCGUAAAGCGCACGUAGGCGGCUUACUAAGUCAGGGGUGAAAUCCUGGAGCUCAACUCCAGAACUGCCUUUGAUACUGGCGAUCUCGAGUCCGGGAGAGGUGAGUGGAACUGCGAGUGUAGAGGUGAAAUUCGUAGAUAUUCGCAAGAACACCAGUGGCGAAGGCGGCUCACUGGCCCGAUACUGACGCUGAGGCACGAAAGCGUGGGGAGCAAACAGG